UACGGGGGAUGCAAGCGUUAUCCGGAAUCAUUGGGCGUAAAGCGCCUGUAGGUUGUUUAUUAAGUCUGUUGUUAAAGACUAGGGCUUAACCCUAGAAAAGCAAUGGAAACUAAUAGACUAGAGUAUGGCAGGGGUAGAGGGAAUUUCUAGUGUAGCGGUGAAAUGCGUAGAUAUUAGAAAGAACACCGGCGGCGAAAGCGCUCUACUGGACCAUUACUGACACUCAGAGGCGAAAGCUAGGGUAGCAAAAGGGAUUAGAUACCCCUGUAGUCCUAGCCGUAAACGAUGGAUACUAGAUGUUGCGUAUUUUAUGCAGUAUCGUAGCUAACGCGUUAAGUAUCCCGCCUGGGGAGUACGCUCGCAAGGGUG
rnacentral:rRNA from 1 species